rnacentral:lncRNA from 1 species
CUACAUAUUUUGAUGCAAGUACUUAUACACAAGGUCCUCUGGGGGUAGUUCCAGAGUCUCUUCGACCAAAACCUGGUCGUUUGUCUCUUUCUCAACACCGUGUUUAUGAGGUGGAACUUCUGCUUUUUUGGCAUGAAUAGUUGGUUAUUUCUGUUUCGUGAGAAUAUUCGAAUUAGUUUAUUGUUUUUGUUAUCUUAGGAUUUUGGUAGGUUUCCAUGGCAAAAUCAUCAAGCCAGAGUUCAAAUGCUCUGCUUGCUGGUUCACUUGCUUCUUCUGGUCUCCCUGUCAGUACUGGACUGUCUCGUGCCUAUGGCCCGACCUUUUAAGGCCUUAAUAUCUCUGUUCCUGAACUUAUAAUUGUUUUUCAUUACAGGCUGAACAAGCAAUUGAUGGGGAGAAAGCUGGACAACCGGCUAUUAGAAGGAAGCAUAGGGAAGGUGUUGGAGCUACAUAUUUUGAUGCAAGUACUUAUACACAAGGUCCUCUGGGGGUAGUUCCAGAGUCUCUUCGACCAAAACCUGGUCGUUUGUCACUUUCUCAACACCGUGUUUAUGAGGUGGAACUUCCGCUUUUUUGGCAUGAAUAGUUGGUUAUUUCUGUUUCGUGAGAAUAUUCGAAUUAGUUUAUUGUUUUUGUUAUCUUAGGAUUUUGGUAGGUUUCCAUGGCAAAAUCAUCAAGCCAGAGUUCAAAUGCUCUGCUUGCUGGUUCAAUUGCUUCUUCUGGUCUCCCUGUCAGUACUGGACUGUCUUGUGCCUAUGGCCCGACCUUUUAAGGCCUUAAUAUAGUUCCUGAACUUAUAAUUGUUUUUCAUUAUAGGCUGAACAAGCAAUUGAUGGGGAGAUAACUGGACAACCGGCUAUUAGAAGGAAGCAUAGGGAAGGUGUUGGAGCUACAUAUUUUGAUGCAAGUACUUAUACACAAGGUCCUCUGGGGGUAGUUCCAGAGUCUCUUCGACCAAAACCUGGUCGUUUGUCUCUUUCUCAACACCGUGUUUAUGAGGUGGAACUUCUGCUUUUUUUGCAUGAAUAGUUGGUUAUUUUUUCGUGAGAAUAUUCGAAUUAGUUUAUUGUUUUUGUUAUCUUAGGAUUUUGGUAGGUUUCUAUGGCAAAAUCAUCAAGCCAGAGUUCAAAUGCUCUGCUUGCUGGUUCAUUUGCUUCUUCUGGUCUCCCUGUCAGUACUGGACUGUCUCGUGCCUAUGGCCCGACCUCUGGUUAGCUCAAUUCAAGCAUCUAUUUACCUGCACAAGUGGGUCCAGGAUUCAGUGCAGGGGCACAUCCAUUAGAUCUGAUUACGGAGGAGAUGGACAGUACUUCCGGAUAACUCCUUAGGUGUGUUUACAACUCCCCACCCUUUUCUUGUUCAAUGUUCUACAAAUGUUCAAUUUUUAAUUCUACUCUUAAUGGAGACUGGUUCAUCUAUUCGUAAUGGGAGUGAGUGUGUCAGAGCUCCACAAUCUUGUUGAUGCGUUGGUGAAGGUUUGGUUUACUUUUUUUUUUAUGCGGCGUUAUAAAUUUGUAGUUGUUGAACAUCUUACCUUAUUUGAAU